CCUCCUUUAUCUGAAACUCUGGGGGGUGGGCUCUGCUGGCAGGCUUAACAAGCCCCCAGAUGAUGCUGAUUUCUGCUAAUGUCUGAGAACCACUGUCUUAGAAGAACCUCAUUUCUUUCCCAUCCUGCUCCAGGCCUGAGUUCAGAUACGUGAGGAGAAGAUUCCUGAAACGGGAGCUCAAGGAACAGGAUGAGGCGCUGUGAGACCUGGGCAACGCAUAGAAGGAGACUGACAUUCUCAACAACCUGAAGCAGCAGUCAGACGGGAAGCAGACCACAGCAAGGAAAACGGACACAGCCGACUAAUGG